rnacentral:tRNA from 1 species
AGAUAAUAGAUAAGGUAUAAAAGAUAUGUAAUCAUAAUAUAUCAAUAUUAUAAAAAGAUGACUCCUGUUCAAUACAGAAAUCAUCUCC